rnacentral:rRNA from 1 species
UACGGAGGGUGCAAGCGUUAUCCGGAUUCACUGGGUUUAAAGGGCGCGUAGGCGGGUGAGCAAGUCUAGGGUGAAAUCCUCCGGCUUAACCGGAGAAGUGCCUUAGAUACUGCUUGUCUCGAGGGAGGUAGGGGUCAUCGGAACUUCUGGUGGAGCGGUGAAAUGCGUUGAUAUCAGAAGGAACGCCGGUGGCGAAAGCGGAUGACUGGACCUCUUCUGACGCUGAGGCGCGAAAGCUAGGGGAGCGAACGGG